rnacentral:rRNA from 1 species
ACGUGGGCAAUCUGCCCUUCACUCUGGGACAAGCCCUGGAAACGGGGUCUAAUACCGGAUAACACUCCUACUCGCAUGGGUGGGGGUUGAAAGCUCCGGCGGUGAAGGAUGAGCCCGCGGCCUAUCAGCUUGUUGGUGAGGUAGUGGCUCACCAAGGCGACGACGGGUAGCCGGCCUGAGAGGGCGACCGGCCACACUGGGACUGAGACACGGCCCAGACUCCUACGGGAGGCAGCAGUGGGGAAUAUUGCACAAUGGGCGAAAGCCUGAUGCAGCGACGCCGCGUGAGGGAUGACGGCCUUCGGGUUGUAAACCUCUUUCAGCAGGGAAGAAGCGAAAGUGACGGUACCUGCAGAAGAAGCGCCGGCUAACUACGUGCCAGCAGCCGCGGUAAUACGUAGGGCGCAAGCGUUGUCCGGAAUUAUUGGGCGUAAAGAGCUCGUAGGCGGUCUGUCGCGUCGGAUGUGAAAGCCCGGGGCUUAACCCCGGGUCUGCAUUCGAUACGGGCAGACUAGAGUGUGGUAGGGGAGAUCGGAAUUCCUGGUGUAGCGGUGAAAUGCGCAGAUAUCAGGAGGAACACCGGUGGCGAAGGCGGAUCUCUGGGCCAUUACUGACGCUGAGGAGCGAAAGCGUGGGGAGCGAACAGGAUUAGAUACCCUGGUAGUCCACGCCGUAAACGGUGGGAACUAGGUGUUGGCGA